UUUUUUAGAGAGUUUGAUCCUGGCUCAGGACGAACGCUGGCGGCGUGCCUAACACAUGCAAGUCGAACGGAGUGUUUCGCUGAAUUGAAGCUAGCUUGCUAGAAGAUUUUCUUGAAACACUUAGUGGCGGACGGGUGAGUAACGCGUGAGUAACCUGCCUUACAGAGGGGGACAACAGUUGGAAACGACUGCUAAUACCGCAUAAUGUACGACCGAGGCAUCUCGGAUGUACCAAAGGAGCAAUCCGCUGUAAGAUGGACUCGCGUCCGAUUAGAUAGUUGGUGGGGUAACGGCCUACCAAGUCGACGAUCGGU
rnacentral:rRNA from 1 species